ACUGUGGAAUAUAGACCCAUAAUUGACAAAACUUUGAACGAGGCUGACUGUGCCACUGUCCCCCCAGCCAUUCACUCCUACUGAUGAGACAAGAUGUGGUGAUGACAGAAUCAGCUUUUGUAAUUAUUGCACAGCCAGAGGACAACACAUCACACACAAGAAACAGUUGUGCUCAUGUGAUGGGGGCCUCAGCACUAGGAAGGAGUGGACUGUUGGCGCACGCAGCAGCUUGAAUAAAUCUGAAAGUCACUACGCUGCGUAAGAGAAGCCAAAUAAAGCGCAUGCUGUGUACAGAGGGUGUCGAGAAUGCCUCCUACGUGACGGAAAGCAGAUCCGUGGUUCCCUGCAGACUGGCAGGAGCAGAUUCCAAAGGCACAGGAAGAAGCUUGCAGUACAAAGAUAAAAAUCUAAAGUGGUUGCUGUGGAGGACAGGGGUCAGUGGUGGAAGUGAGACCGAAAUAGACUCUGAAGUAAUAUCUGGACUUUGAAAUUGCGCCAACCCUGAGACAAAAAUUUGGAAGGUGGCCCUGAGCAGCAGCUGAAGGGAAGUGGGAGGCAGCUGCUCCCAACCCCAGAACCUUUGCUGUCUUGGGACGGAUCACCACUGCAAGAGGGGAAGUUGCUACUGUGAUGAAUUCUGCCAUGUGGCACCAGACUGCCACCCAGACCACAGUGUCCUCUGCAACCCUGCUUCUCAGAUGACCAAGAUGGUGCUGCAGAUGGUGCUGAGGAUGGAGAACCCACCAAGCCC
rnacentral:misc_RNA from 1 species